rnacentral:lncRNA from 1 species
CAAAUUUCUCACAUAGACUGAAAUAUACACCUUCCCACAGAUUUCCACAACAGUCUCCCCAUGUUUCUUUUUCCUUUCUUUCUUUGAUUUUAUUUUUUACCAAUUACACAUCAUUAAUUUCCACAUAAAUUUUCUGAAGUGAUAUGAUCCAAAUGAUCUCCCUCUCUCCUUCCUUCCCCUGUCCUGGGGCUGGUAAGCAAUUUGAUCUGCUUCCCCAUUUUUCUAUUGUCAAUCCAGCCUCUAUCACCCUUGUUUGCCUCCGCACUGUGAGAAAGGGACCUAGAGAGUGUCCUCGUGGUAUCAAUUCCCUAAUAGCCCUUCUUCUACCAGCCCUGUGUGAAGGAGGAGGGAACUUGGGCAUUCAUGGAAGAUUAUAGGAAACCUUUCUUUUGGCAGCUCUAGGAGUACUCUGGAAAUCUCGGAAUUAGAAAAGCUUUAAGCCGGAAUGGAAACUUCUCUGGAUAGGCAUCCCGAAUGAGGAGACAAGCAUGCUAUUGCUGCUUUUACCAGGUCUGGACCACACUGACAGAGUCCCGCAACUUCAGGAACAACUUUCUGGAAAGACCUGUCAGGCUGCAUUUUCAACAAAUAAUUUACGGAAUCAAACACUGGAAGGGACCACAGAGGCCUUCUAGUCCAAACCAUAUUGGAUCAAGCAUCCCUCCUACAAUACCAUCCUGCCCGACCAACCAAAAAGAAAAAGAUGGGCGUCUAGCCUGCGCUUGAAGACCUUCAAAGAGGAGAAAACAAGCUCCCUCCUGGGGCAGCCCAUGCCACUUGGGGACAGCCCUUAAUUACUAGGAAGUUUUCCCUUCAUCAAGCCUAAAUCUGCCUUGCUGAGACUUCAACCCAUUGUUUCCAGCUAUACCUUCCAGAACAAAAUAGAACAAACGGGAUUCCUCUUCUAUAAGAGAGUCCAUUGAAAACUUGAAGAUUGUGACCUUGUCCCCUCUGUCUUCUCUUUUUCAAGCCAAACAUUCCCAGGUCCUUCAGUCAAUCCUGAUAGGAUGAGCUUUGCCUUGUUUGGUUUGGUUUUGGUCCUCUUGCCUAGAGCCUUCCUAAAAUGUGGCACCCAACAACAGAAUGCUACUCCACAUUCUCAUCAGAUCAGAACGUGGCGGGAUGCUCACUUCCCUCAUUCUGGAUACCACGCUUUUAAAAAAAAAUUAAUUAAUUAAUUUAGACUAUUUUCCUGUGGUUACAUGAUUCAUAUUCUUGCCCUCCCCUCCUUCCAUCAGCCCCUGUAAGCAAUGAGCAGUUCCCUGGCUUUUACAUGUGUCAUGGAUCGAUACCUCUUUCCAUAUUAUUGAUAUUUGCACCAGGGUGAUCAUUUAGAGUCUGUGGAUACCACACUUUGAAUGCAUCCCGGGACGGUAUUUUGGGGGGGCUCCCAUGUUAUGCUGUUGACUCAUGUUGACUUUGCAAUCCACUAAGAGCGUCAGAUCUUCUCACACAACUUUUUCCUAGCCAUUUCUCUAAGCUUCUCUACUUGUGGAAUUGGUUUUUGGAGGCCAAGAGUAGAACUUUACAUUCAUCCCGAUUACAUUUCAUCUCAUUCAUUGUGAGCCAUCACUGUAGACUGUCAAUAUCUUUUUUGGAUCCGUACUUCUCUUCUUAUAUGUUAGCUCUCCCUUCUAGCUUUGUGUCAUAUUUAAAUCUCAUAAGCACAUCAUUUAUAGCCUCAUCUAAGACUCUGAUUAAAAAACACUGCACAGGCAUAGCUAAGUGGCUCAGCAGACAGAGAGGCAGGCCUGGAGACAGGAGGUCCUGGAUUCAAAUUUGACCUCAGUCACUCCCUAGUUGUGUGACCCUGGGCGAAGCCAUUUAUCCCCAGUUGCCUAACUAUGACAGUCCUUCUGCCUUGGAACCACUACUUAGUAUUGAUUCUAAGACAAAAGAUAAAGGCUUUUAAAAAAUUGCACAAUGACAAUUAUCAAUAAUAUGGAAAUAGGUCUUGAUCAAUGACGCAAGUAAAACCCAGUGGAAUUGUAUGUCGGCUAUGGGGGAUGAUGGAGGAGGGGAAAGGAAAGGACAUGAAUCAUGGAACCAUGGAAAAAUCUUCUUAAUUAAUUAAUUAAUUAAAAAUUUUCAAUUAAAAAAAUUUUUUUAACCCAGUGGAACUGUGUGUCUGUUAUGGGAAUGGGUGGGGAGAAGGGAGGGAGGAAAAGAAUAUGAUUCUUGUAACCAAGGAAUAAUGUUCUAAAUUGACUAAAUAAAAUUUU